ACACAGCCCACCGCAGGCAACUGGAACUGAAACCCAGGACUCCGUCUCUUGCCAGUGAAAGUUAUGUUAGGAAGCAGUGAGGGGUCUAAAGCAGUAUGAAAGGCAAAGAGAAAAGGUGAUUGUUCCCUCUUGAAUGGCCCUUGGAAGCUGAGUAUCUGGAUUCACCCUCCCUAGGGAAUUUCCCGAUUGUCUUGCAGGCUUACACACUCAUCAAGAUGACAAAAAUAAUGACAGUAACACUUAUGUGGAACUUGACUUUUUCCCAGGUGCUGCUCUAAGCAUUUACUGUGUUUGUUUUACAGGAAGGAAGACUGUACACAGAGAAUAAAUAACUUGGCCAAGCCAUUCAGCUAGGAAGUUGUAGAUCCUAAAUUAAGAGUUCAAGGUCUUAAUGGCUACUCUAUGCGGCCUCUCAUAGUCUUUUCAAGGGUUUUGGAGAAGAAUAAAAGAUCAGGUAUGGCUUCUCCCUCCCCCAGCUCUCUAUUGUUCCCUAAAGGAUUAUUCAUUCGUUCAUUCAUUCCUACAUCCUCCCAUUUAUUCCAGUCAUCCACAGAUGUUUGAGUGGUUACAAUGUGCCAGCCUCCCUUCUAGGUACUGGAGAUAAAGUGGGACAAGAGAGGUGAGGUCUGGACCCUUGGCACUUUCACGAUAAAAUACACAGGUAAACAUUUGCCUUUAGGGCCCCCUGUGAUUACUUCCACUCUUGCAGAUAAGAGGAUAAGGCCUCUUCAGCUUGUUCACAGCAGCUGAAAAGCAAAGCCUCUCUGUCAGUAGAGGUAAAAGAUUAAGAAUGCAGAGUCCGAUGGGGCAUUACCACAUGAUUAUGAAUUAAUGCAAUUUUCCAUCUUUUAUUUCCAAUCCAGGCAUUGCUUUUGAACUCAGUCAUCUUUUCCCCCUUGCCCACUAGUUGCUUGUGAUACAUCAGUAUCCUCACUCACCCCCAACUCCAGAGGCUGAAACUAACUCUCCUCCUCCCUCUUCCAACUGCUGAGGAAGAUGAGUCAAUGGUGUUACUGGACCCUGUGAACUGAUGCUGUGAAGAGAGGCCAUUUAACACGGACUACGGGGAAUGGUGCCACAGGGGGCUCAGUGCUGCCCUUCACUCUCAGCAUUUUGCUCACUCAGCAUUGGUAAGCCACAUCAGCCUCGGUGAAGGAAGUCUGGAGAGUUAAGCCUGUGCUUCAUCUCCAUGCCAGCACCAUGGCACUCAUUGUACAUUCAGCAAGCCCCAAGGAAGCUGGCAGGAGGCUGGCUGACAUCUACGGGACAGGUCAAUUUGUUCUCUGGAGGGCACUCCAUGAGACGCAAAUAUCUUCACACCCUGUGCCCAUUUCAAGAGACUCUCUCACAUGCCUCCCCCACCUUGACCUCUGUGUCACCAGUCUUUCAAUCUUGUUUUUUCCAAAUCCUUAAGGUAGCAGCUGGCCAACACAUUAGCCACCACUGAUGAGUCAGUGUAGAUCUUACAUUGGGCCAUCUCUUUUUUCUUGCAAAAUAGAAAAGCAGAUGUUCUGCUCAAAGUUCUGUUUGUCAGUAAGAUUUCCCUUUCUGCUGUGUUUCAGGACAUCCCUGGGAGGGACUCUGAUGCAGCAGCCAUCUACUUAUUGCUAGUGCCAGCUUACUUUGCAUAACAUUGACUCCUUUCCCUCAUCUGUUGCCUAGUUGUAGGAAACUCCUUGUGAAGCUAUAGGUGUGCACUGAGGGAGAGACAUUGAGUCAAUGGGAGCAGGCAUCAUAGAGUCUAAGUUUUCUGCUAGUCUGAGUUUCUUGUGCCUUGUGGACCUGGUGGGCUUAUCUCCUUUAUCAUAUAGAUACAAUUUUCGCUUAAUAAUAGCAUGCUCCUGCAAAUGCCCAAUUUUAUCAUGUGGUAGAUUAGGCAACACUCAGUUUAUUAGGGUAGCUAGGUUGUGCAGUUACUUGAUGUUAUGGAUUGAAUUGUGUCCCUCCAAAAGAUAUAUUAGAAUCCCAACCUUUAGGACUUCAGAGUGUGACAUUAUUUGAAUAUAGGGUCUUUACAGAGUUAAUCAAUUUUUUUGAAUCUUAUAUAGCUUUUAUUUCAG
rnacentral:lncRNA from 1 species